rnacentral:rRNA from 1 species
UGCAAGUCACGGGGGCCCGCAAGGGUAACCGGCGAACGGGUGCGUAACACGUGAGCAAUCUGCCGUCCACUGGGGGAUAGCCGGCCCAACGGCCGGGUAAUACCGCAUACGUUCCCUUGCUGGCAUCGGUGAGGGAGGAAACCUCUGGGGGUGGACGAGGAGCUCGCGGCCUAUCAGCUAGUUGGUGGGGUAACGGCCUACCAAGGCAAUGACGGGUAGCUGGUCUGAGAGGAUGGCCAGCCACAUUGGGACUGAGAUACGGCCCAGACUCCUACGGGAGGCAGCAGUGGGGAAUAUUGCGCAAUGGCCGCAAGGCUGACGCAGCGACGCCGCGUGGGGGAUGAAGCAUUUCGGUGUGUAAACCCCUGUUGCCCGGGACGAACCGCUCGUUUCGACGAGUCUGACGGUACCGGGUGAGGAAGCACCGGCUAACUCCGUGCCAGCAGCCGCGGUAAUACGGAGGGUGCGAGCGUUGUCCGGAAUCACUGGGCGUAAAGGGCGCGUAGGCGGUCUGCUAAGCGUGUGGUGAAAGCUCGGGGCUCAACCCUGAGUCGACCAUGCGAACUGGUGGACUGGAGCACUGUAGAGGCAGGUGGAAUUCCGGGUGUAGCGGUGGAAUACGUAGAGAUCCGGAAGAACACCGGGUGGCGAAAGCGGCCUGCUGGGCAGUAGCUGACGCUGAGGCGCGACAGCGUGGGGA